AUACCAUGGUGAGGGCACUUCCUUUAUAGUUCCUGAAAUUUCUCCCAUGCCUCGUAAAGUGAAUCCGCAUCAUUUUGAGUGAAAAUCUGAAUCUCCCUCCUUAGUCU